rnacentral:misc_RNA from 1 species
GAUGAAGAACGUAGCGAAAUGCGAUAAGUAAUAUGAAUUGCAGAAUUCAGUGAAUCAUCGAAUCUUUGAACGCACAUUGCGCCCGCUAGUAUUCUGGCGGGCAUGCCUGUCCGAGCGUCAUUUCAACCCUCAAGCCCCCGGGCUUGGUGUUGGGGAUCGGCGAGCCUCCGCGCCCGCCGUCCCCUAAAUCUAGUGGCGGUCUCGCUGUAGCUUCCUCUGCGUAGUAGCACACCUCGCACUGGGAAACAGCGCGGCCACGCCGUUAAACCCCCAACUUCUGAACGUUUGACCUCGGAUCAGGUAGGAAUACCCGCUGAACUUAAGCAUAUCAAUAAGCGGAGGA